UAGCUCAGCAGCAUAAGCGCCUGCCUUGCAAGCAGGCAGUCGUGAGUUCGAUCCCUGGUACUGAUAAAAAGGAAAAAGACAAAAAAAAAAAAAAAAAAAAAAAAAACAGCAAGAGAACAACUUUGCCCAGAAAAUAUUCCUGUGCUGACUAAACUCCACAAACACAUUUCCACUGUCCCCGUUCCCCACCUCAUCUCGUAUUGACGGGAUGAGUGGAUUUAGGAAAUAAACUCCUCUGGGGGCCUCAUUUUCACGGAGACUUGCGGUUAUCAACAGCGCAUCCACCAUCCUCAGCCCGUGUCCCCAAGAGCAUGCCUUUUCAUCAAGAGCUAAGAUUUCAGUUACCACCAGAAACAAAGCCUGUAUCCCUGGGUUUUGCAGCCACCUACGAUGUAGUUCUGGAAAAGAACGAACAGCGCAGCUUUUACAAGAUGAUCAUCAACAGCGCUUUUCAAAAGUCUUCCUAGAGCUGCUAGAGAAGCAAAAACCCCGAAGAAGGAAGAACCGGGACGUCAAGGCAGCCAGGCAGCCAGAAUAGCAAAGCAAAAGACCCUCAUGAAAGACGACUCCACAGCUGCUGCAGGAAGUGGCAAAGAUAAUUCAAUAAGUACCUUCAAAGCACAAGGAAGCAUUUUCAUGGAGAUUAAUUAUAAUGUACCUUUUAUUACCUGAAAAAUAUACGCAAAAUGAAGACAACGGUUUCACACUGGUUAACUACCAUGAGCCAACAAGCGCAGCAGCAGCCAGGGGUGAUGGUGCAGGCCCACGAUCCCAGCCCUCUGGGAGGCUGAGGCUGAAAGAGUGUAAGUUUGAGCUCACCCUGGGAAACCCGGCAAGGUCUGCCUUAAAAUUACACAAAAAUAAAUAAAUAAAAGAGGCUGGGGAGCCCCAUACAAAGGCCCUGGGUUCAAUCCUCAACACCACCAAAAAGAAAAAGCAAAGACCCCAGAUUCACAAUCUUAAGGAGCACGGGACAGCACUGGGUGCUCUGGGCCAACAGCACCACUACUGUGGUUAAUGUAACCAUCAUCCUCAGCCACCCUAGCCUGACCUGCAGCCUUGGCCGACAGAGCAAAAGCUGUCCCGCUCUUUUCUGCACCUUCCUGAGCAUUUGUUUAGCUCUCUUAGUAACUAGCCAAACAGGAACGACUUCUGGAACUCAAAAGAGCCUUAUUCACUGAAAAAGUGGAGACUGCAGAGAUCUGGGGAAGUAGAAGCAUGAGGAGCUCCUCAAAAAAGCACUAUCCACCAGCCAGUGUCUGACACCACACAAAAGUAAGCGACUUAGCAGUUCAAUCAUUUGAAAAAUUAAAACCAGGUAAAGGUUCUCUCAAAGAAAGCCUUAGAGGGGCUGGGGAUUCAGCUCAGCGGCAUAAGCGCCUGCCUUGCAAGCAGGCAGUCAUGAGUUCGAUCCCCAUUACCGAUAAAAAGGAAAAAGACAAAAAAAAAAAAAGAAAGAAAGCCUUAGAGAGCAGCAGCAUUAACCAUUACCUGAUCUCCACACACUGGUCCUGAACAGCAGCCAGCAGCUUCCCGUUGCUUUCCCAGGGAAGAAGAAUGCGAAAACUCAUUAUGAAUAUCUGCACUGAAAAACCCAAGUCAACAGCUACUCAUUUGAUACCUUCAAUACAGAGCAAAUUAUUUUUCAAAGUUACAAUAACUUUUACACUUUUUAGCUCUAAUUGCCCAUCUUUUUUUUAAAGGAUUGAACAUUUCUCCACAUGUUAUUGCUUGACAUUACUAUGUUGACAUACGGCUGGUUUUAUAUUUACAUGUUUAGUUACCAACAUUUCUUACAAAGAGCAUCUCUGGAGUUUUUCUCUGAGGCAAGACAUGGCAUAUGAAACUGUUUUGUUUAUCAAUCAUAGGAUAAAACCAUGUUGCCGAAGAAAACUGUCAUCUCUCACCCUUGGCUUUCAGUGGUGAAACUGCUAUUAGGGGUCGACACAAUGGACUCUGCAGAAUGGAGUCACAUUCCUCUCUGCCUCUUCCUGGUCGGUAAUUAUCUUUAAACCUUAUAAUUAGAUGCAUAUAGACAUCUACAUUCCAAUUUAAUAAAUUGGAAUGUAGGCAUCUAGGUACGUAAAAAGCAUAAAAAUGACUCAAUAUAGCUUGACUGAACAUCUCUAGACAAUACUGAUCCUAUCAUCCUAUUAUCACUGAUCAAUACUGAUCCUCUAGCCAAUACAAGCAACAAAGAAUGUAUACAGAUAAAAGCUGAGCAGGAAAGUCUUAAGGGGCCCAAAAUGAACACCCAUAAUAAAAACUAACAGCCAAUUCAAAUAGAAGCACAUUAUGUGAAUUUCACACCACCUUACCUUGCAA